rnacentral:misc_RNA from 1 species
AAAAAAUCUAAGACAUGAUCAAUGGACUGGAAUAUGCCCCAUUCCAGAUUUGCACUGCAAUACAAAAAUGAUUCAAUUCACUAUCCUGAAUUCUCCAUGAGAUAUUGUUUGCUGCAUUGCAACUUACAAGUGUCAUCUGAUAUGGUGACUAUAACUUUUAUGCAUUCUCAGAAUUUUCACUAAUAUAAACAAAUGAAAAACAACAAUAUAAAAAAUU